AAAGGGACAGGUGAGUCAUCGAAUCUUUGAACGCACAUUGCGCCCAUUAGUAUUCUAGUGGGCAUGCCUGUUCGAGCGUCAUUUCAACCCUUAAGCCCUGUUGCUUAGCGUUGGGAGCAUACAGCACUCGCUGUAGCUCCUCAAAGUUAGUGGCGGAGUCGGUCUCACACUCUAGGCGUAGUAAACUCAUCUCGUCUGUAGUUGGGCCGGUCCCCUGCCGUAAAACCCCCUAAACUCAAAAGGUUGACCUCGGAUCAGGUAGGAAUACCCGCUGAACUUAAGCAUAUCAAUAAGCGGAGG
rnacentral:misc_RNA from 1 species